rnacentral:rRNA from 1 species
UGAGGAAUAUUGGACAAUGGGCGAAAGCCUGAUCCAGCCAUGCCGCGUGUGUGAAGAAGGUCUUCGGAUUGUAAAGCACUUUAAGUUGGGAGGAAGGGUUGUAGAUUAAUACUCUGCAAUUUUGACGUUACCGACAGAAUAAGCACCGGCUAACUCUGUGCCAGCAGCCGCGGUAAUACAGAGGGUGCAAGCGUUAAUCGGAAUUACUGGGCGUAAAGCGCGCGUAGGUGGUUUGUUAAGUUGGAUGUGAAAUCCCCGGGCUCAACCUGGGAACUGCAUUCAAAACUGACUGACUAGAGUAUGGUAGAGGGUGGUGGAAUUUCCUGUGUAGCGGUGAAAUGCGUAGAUAUAGGAAGGAACACCAGUGGCGAAGGCGACCACCUGGACUGAUACUGACACUGAGGUGCGAAAGCGUGGGGAGCAAACAGGAUUAGAUACCCACGUAGUCCCUGAGCGGGCUGGCAAGGCGCAU